UGGGGAAUAUUGGGGCAAUGGAGGCAACUCUGACCCAGCAAUGCCGCGUGAGUGAAGAAGGUUUUCGGAUUGUAAAGCUCUUUAAGUGGGGACGAAGAAAGUGACUGUACCCACAGAAUAAGCAUCGGCUAACUACGUGCCAGCAGCCGCGGUAAUACGUAGGAUGCAAGCGUUAUCCGGAAUGACUGGGCGUAAAGGGUGCGUAGGCGGUUUAGCAAGUUGGUAGCGUAAUUCCGGGGCCUAACUCCGGGACUACUACCAAAACUGCUGGGCUUGAGUGCGGCAGGGGUAUGUGGAAUUCCUAGUGUAGCGGUGGAAUGCGUAGAUAUUAGGAGGAACACCAGAGGCGAAGGCGACAUACUGGGCCGUAACUGACGCUGAGGCACGAAAGCGUGGGGAGCAAACAGGAUUAGAUACCCUGGUAGU
rnacentral:rRNA from 1 species